rnacentral:lncRNA from 1 species
GCACCCUGCUUUGAUUUUGUGGACACGGAGCCAGCACCAGACCAGUAUAAAACGAACACGGGACUGACAGAAUCGCACAGUCUUCUUUCACACUCCAAGGAGUAUAGUUUUACCAACUAAAGUUUCAUCGGACUAGGUCUACAAUUGAGAAUAUGAAUCUACUUAUGGUGUUGGUGAUUGUGACAACGGUCUUGAACAUUAUAAAAGCAGCACCCAGCAGCGUGGUAUGUAUUUUCAAUUGGUUAAAGCUUAAAACAAUAGAAAUGUUUUUAAGUCGGUUGAAAUGGAAUGAAAUGAGACUUAAAAUGAAUCCUCCACUUGUUUAUUUCAGGACAUAAGUAAUGACGAAUUGUUGGAUGGAAAAUAUCUAUGUGAAGGUAAAAGAAAUUCUAAAUCUAAAAUCUAGAUAUGUAAAUACGAAUGCUAUCUGCCAGAUAUAGACAGAACACAUCAUUAUAUUACUCAUUGACCGGCAUCCGAAACUAUAUCCAAAAACGUUUUAAUUAUUUUUGAAUUUUUAUUAUUUUGGCCAGAUCGUUCAGCUUUAAAGCAAUAUGGCAACAGCCGCAUAAGCGAUGACAUUUCCACCAAUUCAUCACCAUUUUUAAAUGAAUUUUACAACAGUUUCUUACGAAGCAUUUUGCUCACAAAGAAUAAAAACUUUGAAACUCUGUCUGAGAGGAUGUCGCGUGCAAUGUCUAAGCGUAAUUUAGACAGCAUUGGUGGAGGACAUCUAAUCAAGAGGAGUGAUAGCAGCAGACUGCUAAGCGCCUAAGGUUUUAUAGCAUUUGCAUACCGUAACUGACCGCACCAUCGAUUACAGCCUCGCAAUGUGUAUAUGAUUUGACUGUCAAGUGUAAAUAAUGUAAGGGAUAUUUAUUUGAUGUGUACAUAUCAAAGGAUGUUAAUAAAUUAUUGCAUUUAUAUAUAUA